AUUGAACGCUGGCGGCAUGCCUUACACAUGCAAGUCGAACGGUAACAGGUCUUCGGAUGCUGACGAGUGGCGAACGGGUGAGUAAUACAUCGGAACGUGCCUAGUAGUGGGGGAUAACUACUCGAAAGAGUGGCUAAUACCGCAUGAGAUCUACGGAUGAAAGCAGGGGAUCGCAAGACCUUGUGCUACUAGAGCGGCCGAUGGCAGAUUAGGUAGUUGGUGGGAUAACAGCUUACCAAGCCGACGAUCUGUAGCUGGUCUGAGAGGAGGAUCAGCCACACUAGGACUAGGAAACGGCCCAGACUCCUACGGGAGGCAGCAGUGGGGAAUUUUGGACAAUGGGCGCAAGCCUGAUCCAGCAAUGCCGCGUGCAGGAUGAAGGCCGUCGGGUUGUAAACUGCUUUUGUACGGAACGAAAAGCCCCGGGUUAAUACCCUGGGGUCAUGACGGUACCGUAAGAAUAAGCACCGGCUAACUACGUGCCAGCCGCCGCCGUAA
rnacentral:rRNA from 1 species